rnacentral:rRNA from 1 species
UACGUAGGGGGCGAGCGUUGUCCGGAUUUAUUGGGCGUAAAGAGCGUGUAGGCGGCUUGGUAGGUCUGCUGUGAAAACUCGGGGCUCAACCCCGAGACGUCGGUGGAAACCACCUGGCUAGAGUCCGGAAGAGGAGAGUGGAAUUCCCGGUGUAGCGGUGAAAUGCGCAGAUAUCGGGAGGAACACCUAUGGCGAAGGCAGCUCGCUGGGACGGUACUGACGCUGAGACGCGAAAGCGUGGGGAGCAAACAGG